rnacentral:lncRNA from 1 species
GAAUAGUUGGUUUUUGAGACGCCAGUCACUUUUUGAUCUGUAAUUCAAUCCCCUAUCUAGUCUCCUUGAUUUCACCAAAACCGUUUUUAUAUUUCGGCUUUAGAAUAAGCCCCUAUAUAUGACCUCUCAUUCCAAAAAUCGGCACUCCAUCUUAGCUAAAUUGCUGCAAAAAUUUCUUCCUCCUAGUUUCAACGGCGUGGUCACCUAUAAUGGACACACAAACUCUAUUUCAGAUAUAUACAGAUAAAGUAAAGUAAUAUUAUUACUCUUAAUUCUAAGUAAUAUUAAUUUUCCAUGGAGUAAUCUUAUUACUCAAAUAAGUAAUAUAAGCCAACACUCAUAACAAAAUCCUUUAUUAAGUUUAAUAAGAUUAACUAAGGUCCACCUAGAUAAUAUAAUAAUGAUACAUGAUACAAUUAGAACAACAAAAUAACCCCUCCGCCCAUGCAAAAUCUCCAAGAGGAACGGUUGUAUUUUUGGUUAUUAUUAUUAUUUUUGUAAUCACUAUAUCCCAAAUCAUUUGUUAACUACAUUCAUUCAAUGAAAGAUGCGUCAACAACUUAUAUACGGGGAUGGUUGGAAUGAUAUAAAAGACAUAUUCACAGUGAGUUCAAGGAGUAGACAAAGCCGGAAUGAGUCAUUUUCUUCCUCUUGGAAGGACUGUCGCGGAUCCUCAAGACUCAUCAUUGGGAUUUUAUUUCUCUGGGUUAUUGUGCUUACGAUUGUUUGCAUCGUUUUAUCAUGUAAUAUCGAAUACUCAUCAAAUAAAGAAAUUUCCUCAAGACUCGACACCCACGUCAACGAACACUUGACCCACCUAGAAGACCACAAGAAGAAACUUAACCGCCUUCACCAAAGUAGAGAUGAUACCUUUCACGUGUGAAUCAAGUCUCUUCAGGACUUAAGGGCCUUGAGUCCGACUUAAACUAUCUUGAAAGAAAAAUGGGACGACAUAUAUCCUUCAAAGUUGCCGAGAUUAAGAGCCUUCUCCUCUCAUCGCUAGACAAUACAUUGAAGUCCAUACGGGAGAUCCGGGAGGAAGUUCAAAGGAGCAUUGCCUAGAAUCAUCUUCUUAAUCAAAUAAUACAGUGUUUGUUUAUAUUGAAGUAAUAAAUAAAUUUUAUAUUUCAAAGGAAAUUGAGAAAAACA